rnacentral:lncRNA from 1 species
AUGGGCGAUUUCAAUUAUCCCGAUAUCUGCUGGAAAACAAACUCGGCCAAGAGUUCAAAGUCCAACAAAUUCCUUACUUGCCUUGCAGACAAUUUUAUGGUCCAGAAGGUAGAAGAGGCAACAAGGGGAUCAGCAACUCUUGAUCUAAUCUUAACAAAUGUGGAAGACCUGAUCAAUACAGUUGAAGUGGUUGGAUCCUUAGGGGCAAGUGACCAUGUGCUCCUGCAGUUUGCAAUACAAAGGAAUGCUGAAACUAAGACAAGUCAAACAUGCAUUCUGGACUUUAAGAGAGCUGACUUCCAAAAAAUGAAGGAAUUACUGAGCGGCAUCCCAUGGACGCUAAUAUUAAAAAACAAGGGAGUUAAGGAUGGAUGGGAGUUUUUCAAAAGUGAAAUACUCAAGGCGCAAAUGCAAACAGUGCCAACAAAGAAGAAAAAUAAGACAAAUGCAAAGAAGCCAGAAUGGAUGUCCAAAGAACUUCUAACUGAGCUAAAGCUCAAAAGUGACAUGCACAAGAAGUGGAAAAGGGGAGAAAUCACCAAAGAAGAAUUCAAACGUAUAGCCAACACCUGUAGGGAAAAGGUUCGCAAGGCUAAAGCGCAAAAUGAGCUCAGGCUUGCCAGGGACAUAAAAAACAACAAAAAAGGCUUUUUUGCUUACGUUGGUAGAAAAAGGAAGAAAAAGGAGGCGAUAGGGCCACUGCAAGGAAAAGAUGGGGUGAUGGUGACAGGGGAUAAGGAAAAAACAGAACUGCUUAAUGCCUUCUUUGCCUCGGUCUUCUCACAAAAAGAAAGCCAUCUUCAACCUCAGCAACAUGGAAUGGACGAAGGAUUGGGGGAAAUCCAACCCCAAAUAGGGAAACAAGUUGUCCAGGAACACCUGGCCACUCUAAACGAAUUCAAGUCGCCAGGGCUAGAUCAGCUACAUCCAAGAGUAUUGAAGGAACUAGCGGAAGUUAUUUCAGAACCACUGGCAAUCAUUUUGAGAGUUCUUGGAGAACCGGAGAAGUCCCAGCAGAUUGGAGGAGGGCGAAUGUGGUCCCUAUCUUCAAGAAAGGAAAAAAGAACGACCCAAACAAUUACCAUCCGGUCAGCCUCACAUCAAUACCAGGCAAGAUUCUGGAAAAGAUCAUUAAGGAAGUGGUCUGCAAACACUUAG